UACGAAGGGAGCUAGCGUUGUUCGGAAUCACUGGGCGUAAAGCGCACGUAGGCGGAUUUGUCAGUCAGGGGUGAAAUCCCGAGGCUCAACCUCGGAACUGCCUUCGAUACUGCGGGUCUCGAGUCCGGGAGAGGUGAGUGGAAUUCCUAGUGUAGAGGUGAAAUUCGUAGAUAUUAGGAAGAACACCAGUGGCGAAGGCGGCUCACUGGCCCGGUACUGACGCUGAGGCGCGAAAGCGUGGGGAGCAAACAGG
rnacentral:rRNA from 1 species